UACGGAGGGUGCGAGCGUUGUCCGGAAUCACUGGGCGUAAAGGGCGCGUAGGCGGCAUGCCAAGCGUGUGGUGAAAGCCUGGGGCUCAACCCCGGGUCGGCCGUGCGAACUGUUUUGCUUGAGCACUGUAGAGGCAGGCGGAAUUCCGGGUGUAGCGGUGGAAUGCGUAGAGAUCCGGAAGAACACCGGUGGCGAAGGCGGCCUGCUGGGCAGUAGCUGACACUGAGGCGCGACAGCGUGGGGAGCAAACAGG
rnacentral:rRNA from 1 species